rnacentral:misc_RNA from 1 species
AUCACCUCUCAAGCCUGGCUUGUUGUUGGAUCUAGGUCUUUUGCUUUAGGCAUGACCAAUCCCAAAGAUAAUGAGGCGUCUGUGAGGACCCCAGUACACUGAGCUUUCUAAGCACGUAUUAGGUGGAAGUCCAGGCCCGGUCUUACUUAUAUUUUAUCAAGGUUGACCUCGGAUCAGGUAGGAAUACCCGCUGAACUUAA